UCCUUCUCCUCUCUCUCUCUCUCUCUCUCUAUUGUCUAUUUCAUUCCAAAGGAGAGAUUUUCUCCUAAUAUUUUUGGUAAAGGCUAUCUUGGGAAUCAAGAUCAGAAGCAUUGCGAGUGGGAUGAGGAACGAGAAUGGUAUCAAAGAAACCUCAGAAUGAUACAUUGGCAAGCAGUAAAAAGGAUAUUAAGAUAUAUUCAAGGAACAAAAAAAAACAAGUUGCACUAUCAAAGUUCUUCCCUUAGGCCUCAGGGUUACUCUGAUGCAGAUUGGAGUGGUGACUAUGAUGAUAGUAAUCUACUUCAGGUUUUAGUUUCACACUUGGUGGAGGUGCUGUAUCAUGGUGCAGUAAAAAACAAGAUUGUGCUACUUUAUCAACCAUGAAAGCAGAAGCAGUUCAGGAUCACAAGAGGCUAUUUGGUUGAUAAAUUUCCUCAUGGAUUUAAAGUUUGAAUGUAUUGAAAAUCUAUAAACAUGUUAUGUGAUAAUCAAGCAGCCAUUGCCGUUUU